GACGAACGCUGGCGGCGUGCUUAAUACAUGCAAGUCAACUGAGCUUAAGAUAGCAAUAUUUUAAGUGCGGUGGCGCACGGGUGAGUAACACGUAGGUAAUCUGCCUUUAGGUCUGACAUAAUCCCGCGAAAGCGGGACUAAAAUCAGAUGAUGCAGCGGCUCGACAUCGAGACAGUUGUUAAACCUUCGGGGCCUAAAGAUGAGCCUGCGUCUGAUUAGGAGUUGGCGGAGUAAAAGCCCACCAAGCCUGCGAUCAGUAGCUGGUCUGAGAGGAUGAUCAGCCACACUGGAACUGAGACACGGUCCAGACUCCUACGGGAGGCAGCAGUAAGGAAUAUUGCUCAAU
rnacentral:rRNA from 1 species